UUAAAAAAUAGGCGCUGCUCUAAACCGCUGAUAGGACCUGCUUUGGGCUGCCUUUUUAUUUUGGAUGAAGCAGCCAAGCACAAGUCAUGCUCUUCAUUGUGUUUGGAUGAAGCAGCCAAGCACAAGUGCACAGCAGGAAUAAAGAUGCGGAGAUGAAGAGCUCACUUUUCAUAAUCCGUGGAGUUCAUUUCUCCAAAUUCGUGAAGUUCACAUCUCCUGCUACUUUAGUUCAGAUAUUCUUCCUAGAUGGACUAUUAUUUCAUUUCUUUUUGAUAGUGUAAAGCUCCAUGUACAGAAAUGCAGCUACACUGGGGUUUCACUCGCGUAUCCUCGACAGUCCAGAGGGCUUCUCGAUGGAGUCCAGCACAUGGUCGCACCUUUCGGCAGUCAAGGGUGUGUCGCUGGGCUCCACUGGCAGUCAAGUGUGCUCCAACACGAAGUACACCUUCCGUGGCGGAAGUACACCCCAAAACAUGGCAUUAUUACGGUAUAAGUAAUUGAAGUGAGCUCCUAGUUAUAUGUUGUUAUUUUCUUCUACCUCUGCUUCUAGCAGGUGCCUUCCUGUAGCCCUUAAGCAUCAUCCCCGCUGGAAACUGAUUUCAGGGAAGUUUGUCUCUUUUCUCCCAGGAGUUUGCUUCAUCGACUAUUUUGUCGGUCAAAAGCACAGUGGAAGUUCACCUUUUCUCGGUUUGAAAGUUCAUCUUUAUAUAGUCGGGGAAUGUAGUCCGUCCGCGUUUACGUUCAAGGUUCUAGCGAGCGGCCGCUGCCCUCGUUGCCUCCGGCAUCCGCAAAGCUGCCUGUAGUUGGUGUGGCCUAAACCGGACUGCACGGCACUGAGAACCAGCUUCAAGACGUUCGCCUUACCAGUUUCUGCGGAUGCAUAACCGUGGCAUGCUCCCUGAGUUCUCCGCCGAGAGAUCACACCAUAGGACACACGCUGAUCGGAAUCAUGUUCUCUGCGUUCGAUGUGGUCCCGCUGUCCUGAAGUAUAAUAUCACCUCUGAUAGGUAGAUAGCAUUAUGUUAGAUGUCGAAUUAACUGAGAAUGAUGUGGGUUUGCUUUGCAUACUUGGAAAAGAGGUGGUUUGCAACUAGUUUAAUUGGUGGGAUAUCAUGUGGUGACACUCUUUCACGAUGCAUUAUCAAGCAAAUGACAAAGCCAAUACCAA